AACGAACGCUGGCGGCAUGCCUAACACGUGCAAGUCGAACGAGACCUUCGGGUCUAGUGGCGCACGGGUGCGUAACGCGUGGGAACCUGCCCUUAGGUUCGGAAUAACUCCCCGAAAGGGGUGCUAAUACCGGAUAAUGUCUUCGGACCAAAGAUUUAUCGCCUUUGGAUGGGCCCGCGUUGGAUUAGCUAGUUGGUAGGGUAAAAGCCUACCAAGGCGACGAUCCAUAGCUGGUCUGAGAGGAAGAUCAGCCACACUGGGACUGAGACACGGCCCAGACUCCUACGGGAGGCAGCAGUGGGGAAUAUUGGACAAUGGGCGAAAGCCUGAUCCAGCAAUGCCGCGUGAGUGAUGAAGGCCUUAGGGUUGUAAAGCUCUUUUACCCGGGAUGAUAAUGACAGUACCGAGAGAAUAAGCUCCGGCUAACUCCGUG
rnacentral:rRNA from 1 species